GAGCACACAGGUGGAUACCUUGGCACGACAGGCGAUGAAGGACGUAGCAGGCUGCGAAAAGCCUGGGGGAGCUGCCAACAAGCGAUGAUCCCAGGAUAUCCGAAUGGGGCAACCCACGUGGCGUCAUGGUCACGUACUCCGCGAUGAAUACAAUAGUCGCGGUAGAGCAUACCCGGUGAACUGAAACAUCUAAGUAGCCGGAGGAAAAGACAUCAACCGAGAUUCCCGUAGUAGUGGCGAGCGAACCGGGAAGAGCCUAAACCCCGCACGUGUAAGCAUAGCAGCGUUGCGUGAAGGGGGGUUGCACGGCAAUCAGUCGAGGGUGCUAUACCUCGAGGUCAGUAAGAAAUCCGAUCGAAAGACGAAGCCGGCUGGAAAGCCGCACCAAAGACGGUGAUAGUCCCGUAAUCGAAUUCGUUCGGACUGACUCGAUUGUUCGUAAGUAGGGCGGGNNAGGGAAAGGUGAAAAGAACCCCCGAAGGGGAGUGAAAUAGAACAUGAAACCGUGUGCUUACAAACCGUGAAAGGCCAAUGCGCAAGCAAGGCUAAUCGCGUGCCUAUUGAAGAAUGAACCUGCGAGUUACGUGGUACAGGCUUGGUUAAGGUGAUGAGCCGGAGCCGCAGCGAAAGCGAGUCUGAAUAGGGCAAUUCGUCUGUAUCAGUAGACCCGAAACCAAGCGAUCUAUCCAUGAGCAGGCUGAAGCAUGAUUAAUCUCAUGUGGAGGGCCGAACCUGUUGUUGUUGAAAAAACAUUGGAUGACUUGUGGAUAGGGGUGAAAAGCCAAUCGAGCUUGGAGAUAGCUGGUUCUCCCCGAAAUAGUUUGAGGACUAGCGUUGCGUAUUAAACCUUGGGGGUAGAGCACUGACAGGGCUAGGGGCCUUACCGGGUUACCGAACCCCAUCAAACUCCGAAUACCAGGGCGUAUCGCGCAGCAGUCAGACGGUGGGGGAUAAGCUCCAUCGUCAAAAGGGAAACAGCCCAGAUCAUCAGCUAAGGUCCCUAAUCGAUGCUCAGUGGUAAAGGAAGUCGUUUCGCACAGACAACUAGGAGGUUGGCUUAGAAGCAGCCACCCUUGAAAGAGUGCGUAAUAGCUCACUAGUCGAGUGAGGCGGCGCCGAAAAUGUAACGGGGCUCAAGCAUCGAACCGAAGCUAUGGGAUUACGCAAGUAAUCGGUAGGGGAGCGUUGUCGCGUAGGCUGAAGCCAGACCGUGAGGACUGGUGGACGAACGACAAGUGCGAAUGCAGGUAUAAGUAGCGAGAAAUGCGGGUGAGAACCCCGCACGCCGGAAGUCUAAGGUUUCCUGAGCUACGUCAAUCGUCUCAGGGUGAGUCGGGUCCUAAGCCGAGGCUGAGAAGCGUAGGCGAUGGCCAAGCCGUUCAUAUUCGGCUACCACCGACGUCAGUUUAGACUUUCUCGAACAGCGGCCGGCCACGAGCGAUCGUGGUCGUUUGGUGUUCGUUGAAGUCUAUGAAGUGAAGGGAUGACGCAGGAGGAUAGGUCAGCACACUAUCGGAUGUGUGUCGAAGCAGGUAGGGGGUCAGAUAGGCAAAUCCGUCUGGCAACUCCGAGAUGCGAGUGCGAGGACCCUUGUGGUCCGAAGUGAUUGACUCCACGCUGCCAAGAAAAGUCUCUAGCAAUGACAUAGGUGCCCGUACCGUACACCGACACAGGUAGACUGGCAGAGCAUGCUAAGGCGACGGGAGAACCCCUGUUAAGGAACUCGGCAAAUUAACCCCGUAACUUUGGGAGAAGGGGUGCCCCUUUUGGUCUAGUCUUCACGACGAAAGCUGAGGGGGGUCGCAGUGAAUAGGCCCAAGCGACUGUUUAACAAAAACACAGGUCUCUGCGAACGCGAAAGCGGACGUAUAGGGGCUGACUCCUGCCCGGUGCUGGAAGGUUAAAAGGAGAGGUUAGCGCAAGCGAAGCUUUGAAUUGAAGCCCCAGUAAACGGCGGCGGUAACUAUAACCGUCCUAAGGUAGCGAAAUUCCUUGUCGGGUAAGUUCCGACCUGCACGAAUGGAGUAACGACUUGGGCACUGUCUCGAUGGGGGGCCCGGCGAAAUUGCAGUACCAGUGAAGAUGCUGGUUACCCGCGGCAGGACGGAAAGACCCCAUGAAGCUUUACUGUAUCCUGAUUAUGGGUCUUGAGAUUAUCUGCACAGGAUAGGUGGGAGGCGUUGAUCCGAGGGCUCUGGUCUACGGGGAGCCAACGUUGGGAUACCACCCUGAAAAUCUU
rnacentral:rRNA from 1 species